rnacentral:rRNA from 1 species
GUGGCCAGCCGCCGCGGUAAUACCGGCAGCCCGAGUGAUGGCCGAUCUUAUUGGGCCUAAAGCGUCCGUAGCUGGCCGAACAAGUCCGGCGGGAAAUCCACCCGCCCAACGGGUGGGCGUCCGGUAGAAACUGGCCGGCUUGGAACCGGAAGGCUCAGAGAGUACGUCCGGGGUAGGAGUGAAAUCCCGUAAUCCCGGACGGACUACCGAUGGCGAAAGCACUCUGAGAAGACGGCUUCGACAGUGAGGGACGAAAGCUCGGGUCUCAAACCGGAUUAGAAACCCCGUAGUCC